CGCCUUCUGAAAAAGUUUAAAUAAAGAGCACAAAGGCAUUCUUUCCUCCGCAUCCCACGCGUUUUGCAUUUUGAAAACAACUGUACACUAAGUACUCUCUUGACUCCGGAGAAAUUAGCAUUAUUUUUUAAGGCGAAUCACCAGUUAGAAAGGAGAGGAAAGCUUAGGUAAAAGAAGUGCCCCACUAAUUACACGGUCACACCUAAGUACACACGAGUCGAUUACCUUCAACAUAAUGCUGAGGUCAAAACGCAAGCAUCUCAAACGGAGUUUUCUACCCCACAACUAAAACAGAAAAAAGCUUCCCCUAUUUUUUUUUAAAGGAGCCUUUGCAAACAAGUCAGAGGCUUGAACUCAGCAGAUCUUGCGGAAACUGCGACAAAGGAAGAGAUCCGGUGAUUUCCCCGGAGCUCAUUCAUAUAUUAUCCUAAAUUCUCUCCCAGAGACCCAUGCCAAGAGAAAGCUUUAUAAAUCUGCAAAUCGCCAAGCAGUGCCCACUGGAGCAUUCAGAGCGCCGAGCAGGCUGGCUGAAGAAUUCCGUUGCAAAUCCGUUUACUUUGCCAAGGUGGCAGCAAAACACAGGUUUAGGCUUCUUAGAGGAGGAGGAGGAGGAGGAAACAGCAGAAUGAACACUGGAGACCACAUUUUAAAGCAUCGGAGAAGUAACCUACUCGCUUUUUAAAAUCUUUCCUUUUGGACAAUGGUCCCAGGGUGAAUUCUACUACCAGGUCAAAUUGAAUAUAAUGAAUUAUACCAGAGCCAAAGCUCAAGAAGAAGAAAAGAGGUUGCUGUGGAAGAGAGUGUGAAACCUUGAGGACAACAAAGUAAAGGUUGAAAACAACUCAGUUCUACGUAUCAUUCAUUGGCCCGCCAAGUACAUGGUGAGAUGUGUCAAGACUGCCAGGUUAGACCUUCUGCUAGACUCUGAUCCCAAAGGAUGCUCUGAUCAACAGGGCUGUGCUGCUUGCAAACCUGACCUGGACUCCAACUUUGCAUUCCUGUGGCUAGCUGUCCCAUAGUGGGAGACACUACUCCCUGUGUAUGGAACAGAAAAGAAUGAACAACAGCAACAAAAAAAAACCAGAAAACAAAAAUCUAAUGAUGUAGGUCCAUUUCUUGGGGGCUAUAUGGCUUCAGAGGGGACAAAAUCCAUAAGUCAUCCUCUUUUACCUUGUGGCAUCUCACACUGUGAGCUUCUCCAAACACGAAUGUACCAUCUAGGUGGCUAAUGUUGGUUGACUUAGGCCUUUUUGAAAACACUGAUAGUUCUGGCUGUAAAGCCAAUCAAAACAGUCUAUUAUCAACUAAAUUACCAGCCAACAGUAUUCAAUUAUAGACUCUACAUAUUCUCUAUAUACAAUCUCUCCAAGGUACUUCUCUUAUAUAUUAACAUGAUUUUCCUGGAAGCCAUCUCCCUACUCUUUCCACAAGGAGAAUCUGUUUCAGUUGGGUAAGCUGACUGGAUCUGUAUGUGUGCCAGAACCUCAUUACAUUCUCCCCCUCCUCCCUUAUAAAACCUUUUGCUGUCCUCAGCAAAUAGGUAAGAGUGUACUUUGAACACAUUAUCCAUGUCCCCAGCCCAGAAUUGUUUUCUGACUUCUCUGGAAAGGCAUGAGGAUUCUACUUGCUUUCCUAGUGCUAUAUAGGAAAGAAUAGAAAAAUAUAUAGCCACUGUAGCAUGAUCUUAUAAAAUCCCACAUAUAGAGUAAAAAAUCACAAUUAUGCCCAAAUACAAAGUUUUGCAGAUACCAAAAAAAAAAAGAAUAUUUGACAAAGCUUACCAAUGAUUACUGCUUGCCCAAUACUGAACAAAUAGUCGACUCAUUGCUUAAAUAGUCUUAAAAUUGGCUUCCUAGGUCAGAAGGAAAUCUGGUCAAUACGGAGCUUUCCAGAACACAUGGUGCUCUCUCCACAGAGGUUUAGGAACUGGAAGUUACUAGACAUCACUCCUUUACUUUUAGAAGAGAAACCAAACUAACUUGUCUUGGUACCUACAAAUGGCUCUGAGCCUUGCAGUGGCGGAAAAGGGGAAGCUUACUAUAGCCCCUUAACCCUCCUCCCCUGGAUUCACUCCCAAGAGCAUAUUCAAUCAUUGGGUAACUCCUAAAGAAAUAUAAAAUAAAUCUUCAUGUCUGAGGGAAGCUGAACCAUUACUCUGAUCCCAAGACUCUUUAGGCUCUCUGCAUAGGGAUUAAGGACCUGGAGUAUACCAUAAGUUAUCCAUUCAUCCUCUAAGGAGAAAUCAACUGUCCUAGGCACAAACUAUGCUAUGAUUUCCUCAGUUCCAUGAAGCCAUGCUACUGGGGUCUAGAUAAAAUUUUUAAGUGCAUUACAUAGAGUGCACUAAAAUUUCUCUAGCGGUCUUCAUACCAUAGAUGGUUCCCUUAGAGGUCUGGGCAAAUUUCUUUCGCUUCUUCUUCCAAAGGACACCUGGAGUUUCCCUGCUAGGUACCCAUGUUAUAGCAAGGGCAAUCCAAAUAGAUUGUAAACUUUCCUGACAAGACAAGUAGUCUCAGUUAAAGAAAACUGCAAAACAAAGGCAAGCAAAUCCCAAACAUAGAUAAACCUUUCAAUGUAUUGAAUUAUAUAUUCUUUGGCCUCACUUUUUCAGCUAUAUCCUACACUUUAGCAUUACAGGAUACCACGAAAGGUUAUAGUGUGGUAUAUCUUUUUCUCUUCUGCCACUUUGAACAAACCCCCACAUGUAAAAUGUGCUGCCCAUGUCAUGUUAUGUUAUAUGUUAUGUAUAUGUCCACAUGGGUUUGUCAUGUGGCUCAGAGAGAGGUAGAUGUCUCUGGAAGUUUGUCCAUUCCUCUCCAAAAAAGAUUUUGAUUCCUGCGUGGAAGGCAGCAAGAGAUUGAGGCCACAAGCCUCUCCAACUCCUCCCCUGAGAGUAGACACCAGAAUAGAAUUAUAUUUAUCUAUAUUGCUGGUUUAGGGGAAAUGAAUUUAAGGUUUAAGCCACUUUUCUGAUCACUAUCCCUUAGUGGUUAAAGAGUGCCUCAGGCUACAUCUUAUCAGCCUGUUAAGUAUAGUGGCCACUCAUGAACCAAUUCCAAUGAUGAUUGGUAUGGAAGCUUUAGCCCACCAUAUUUUUCUGACCGGGGCCAUUUUACCCCUCCGUAGGUAGCCUAUUGGCUCUCUUUUCCUGGGGGUUCUGUUAUAUCAAUGCCAGAAUUAGGGCAGACACCCUCUUGAUCAACUUUAGCCCUAUUGUUGUUCAGAACCCCUGACCUCAGUGAUCCACCAGGCUCAGCCUCCCCUACUAACCAAGAAUUACAGGCAUGCAGGGGCAGCUAGGUGGCACAGUGGAUAGAGCUCUAGCCUUGGAGUCAGGAGGACCUGAGUUCAA